AGCAGCAGCCGCGGUAAUACGAAGGGUGCAAGCGUUACUCGGAAUUACUGGGCGUAAAGCGUGCGUAGGUGGUUGUUUAAGUCUGCUGUGAAAGCCCUGGGCUCAACCUGGGAAUUGCAGCGGAUACUGGGCGACUAGAGUAAGGUAGAGGAUAGUGGAAUUUCCGGUGUAGCAGUGAAAUGCGUAGAGAUCGGAAGGAACAUCUGUGGCGAAGGCGACUAUCUGGGCCAUUACUGACACUGAGGCACGAAAGCGUGGGGAGCAAACAGGAUUAGAUACCCCAGUAGUCCCUGUCUCUUAUAC
rnacentral:rRNA from 1 species